rnacentral:lncRNA from 1 species
AGUCAUGGUUUCAUUAGUUCUGCAGCAAAAAGAAUCAUCCAGUCCAGGCAGGAUCUGAAUUCCUAAUGAUAGACGAGAUGAAAAGAAAAAACACUAAAUGGCCUUAAUAUCAGCAGCCUAACUUUGGUCCAGUCUUGGAGAGCAUUUCAAAUUGCAGUUUUGGAUCUGCUGGAAGACUCUGAAAUCAGCCAUGUCCUUGGAUGAGGAGCCAUCUCACUCUUUGUAU